GAUGAACGCUGGCGGCGUGCCUAAUACAUGCAAGUCGAGCGAACAGACGAGGAGCUUGCUCCUCUGACGUUAGCGGCGGACGGGUGAGUAACACGUGGAUAACCUACCUAUAAGACUGGGAUAACUUCGGGAAACCGGAGCUAAUACCGCAUAAUAUAUUGAACCGCAUGGUUCAAUAGUGAAAGACGGUUUUGCUGUCACUUAUAGAUGGAUCCGCGCCGCAUUAGCUAGUUGGUAAGGUAACGGCUUACCAAGGCAACGAUGCGUAGCCGACCUGAGAGGAUGAUCGGCCACACUGGAACUGAGACACGGUCCAGACUCCUACGGGAGGCAGCAGUAGGGAAUCUUCCGCAAUGGGCGAAAGCUUGACGGAGCAACGCCGCGUGAGUGAUGAAGGUCUUCGGAUCGUAAAACUCUGUUAUUAGGGAAGAACAAAUGUGUAAGUAACUAUGCACGUCUUGACGGUACCUAAUCAAAAAGCCACGGCUAACUACGUG
rnacentral:rRNA from 1 species